ensembl:lncRNA
CGUGAGUUCACGACAAGGAUUCUGUCUGAAAGUAGAGUUUUAGAAAGGGAGUGGACGGGAUGGACGAAACGGCGGGAGGAGGGACCAGGACGCCUUGCGCUUCUCCAAGCGGGCCCUUGCCGUUCCCUCCAGCCGCCACCAGAGGGCGCGCCGGCCGCGGUGCUUCUGCGGGUCCGGGCUCUUGCGCAGCGGAUCGCGACCGGGGGUGGGCGAGGGGGCUAGCGCUUCGGGCGCGUGGCGCCGAUCUGGCCUCCAGGCCUGUCAUCCUUCUCUUUCCCAGGUCGCUGCGUGGAUGGCGGCUGGGAGGUGCAGCGGCGUCGGGCUCUGCACAUACAUGCAGUCUCGUGCACACUUGUGUGGGCUCUCACACACAUGUGUACACAAGCACACGUGCAGGCUUGUGCACGCACCGUGCAGGCUCUCACACUCACACGUGUGCACACACACACUUUCAUCUUCAUCCAGAAGCCCCUUCUCCAGCCUCACUAAGAAAUUAAUGGAGCACACAAUUCUCAGUUUUUUCCCUGCAUUUGGAACUCACUUCUUCAAGACAGCCUGGGUGCAGCUUGUGGGAGGGCCCCUGCCCUGUUCCAUGUGGGACCCCCCCACUCACAUCACAGCCCCUGUUCGGACGCUGUGCGGGGGAGAGGAGGACAGGGCUCCGCCAUCAGGGGCCUGUCUCCUCCGAGCUCCGACCCAGUCUCCCAAGGGGUGACCUGCCCGGCCUCCGUCCUCCUUCGAGACGUCCAGGGGUGACCCUCAGGCCUAGCUGAGCGGCGCCUGCCCCGCCUCUCUGACAAGGUUCACGGGCCUCCAGGGAGGUUGGCUGAGGGAUUCCCAGGCCCUCCGCGCCCGACGCUGGGGAGUGUGUUGUUUCUGCGGCCCCAGGGCCUGGCACUCUGCAGGCCUCGGCAGCUGGUCUGGGUGAACAAUGAACGGAUGUCAGUUCAGUUGCCACCUCUCGGCCUUUACCGAGGGCUGGACUUUCUUCCCGCGGUGACAAUGUGGCCACAGCACAUUUUGCACUCUCAUGCCUUCCUCUGCUUCGGCCACUGAUGGAACCCACGUGGAUCCAUGUGUCACGCUGCGAUCCGGCCAGCAGCUUCUCCAUCCCGGCCUCAGCGAAGCCCUCCCUGGAGAACAGGGGGACUGUGGUAGCCACUCUCCACGAUGGCCCCAAGGAAGCCUGCCUGCCAGAUUCGUGCUCUGGAGCGGCGCCCUCGGUCUGGGCUGGCCUGUGACGGUUUGAACGGCAGGUACGGGGAAGGGACGCUGUGCACUGAGAAGCCGUGCCCCCAGGCUCCGUAACGAGGCCACAGCCUGAAGACGACUUCUGUUUUCCUUUAGCACCAACCCUAUGUCUCCACCUCCGUCUUUUACACAAAAGUGCCUGACCUUCAGGGAGCACCUCCCACGCCCACAACUUUCCGCCCAGAUUUCAGCAGAACCCACCGCCAAACACCCAGCCAGACAUUCCAUGGAGGGACACAGCAGGACACAGGGGGGACCUAGCAUCGAGUUCUCACCGUUCUGAAUGGACGUUGAAGUUGCCAGUGAGUUGUCUUAUUAUGAACAAAAGCUCCGUACCUGCGCUGCACCCCGCGGGAUGCCUCUGAGGGUUUCUUAGCUGCUGCUGGGGGGCAGCUGGCUGCAGGACUCCUGGCACACGCAGACGGCAGGGACACGAGAAAAUCUGUGCAGUGCGGUCUGUCCACAGGCGGGCUGGCAGGCGCGAGGACUCCAGGCGGAGGGAAAGCACUCUACAGAGUGUUGGGCGGUGACACGAUCGCUGCUUGGCUGAUCCUUCCUGUCCUAGAGGGAAGGAGGACCCCCAAGAUCAAGGGCGAGGGGAGGGACGUGGAGGGGCCCAGCAUGAGGCUGAGGAUGUGGGUUCUAAACCCAGCUCUGCCGCUUCUCCUCUGUCGAGGGGGCACGGUCACAGCACCCUGUUCUUCAGACUGCCGUGUGGCCUGACUGCGAUACUCCGCACAUGAACACUCGGCACAGCGCCUGGGAUGGGGAAAGUGCUCACUAAGUUUUCGCUGUCCUGGUGAGUUCAUUUAUUGUUGUUAGCUGUGCAACUUUGGGCAAACUGCUUCCCUCUCUGGACCUCUGGUUUUGCUUCCAUGUGAUGAGGGCCUCGGUGUAGAUGGCUUCGUAGACCCAUUCCAUGCCAUUUGAGUCCGUUUCCUCCCCGGGUCACGGUGCCUGCGGCUUCUUCCAAGGCCGCGGGGUAAGGCAGCCUGGUGGUUUCAGCACCAGUGGGGAGGACAGCAGCCGGGAGCUGUCCAGGAAGCUGAUCCGCGGGGAGGGCCAGCCUGGAG